UGGGGGGGGGGGGGGGGGGGGUAAUUGUUUAAAACUUUAUGUCAUUUUCCAAAACUUCCAAAAAAUAUUAUCAAAAGACACACUUGGGGGUUAACACUUUAUUGCACCUACCCCCUUGGCUAGAAUAGUAUUUUUAAUUAGCUCAACUUGAACCAUUCUUAGUAAGAUUAGAAAUGUACUUAUUAAUUACUGUUUUGUAGUUAUUAACCACUUGACUGCUAUCCACAUGUGUUCUCGCUCUUGUAUGCCUGUGCGUACCACGUACAUGUACGUGCUUAGGGCAGUGCACUUUCAAGACCAUAGCACUGCAUAAUGCCAAAGCCCUGCUGUGUAAUUAACACUGCUAUGAUGUUAUAGAGGUCUUGAACAGUAGAUGGCGCUCUUCCAAAAAAAUAUGGCUUUUGAUGUGUACAGUUUUUGUCAGGUUUUUGUACAGUACAAAAAUGCUGUAGCACAGGGGGUAUGAACGCGUUUUAAGCCAAUAGCAGUCAAGUGGAUAAGCUGUGGAAAAGAUAGACAAAACAUUUGAUUACUUUCAUAAUUUGCAAAUAUGUUCAUUAAAUGCAACAUAUUAUUUUUAUUAUUAUUGUUAUUAUUAUUAGCCAUCAAGUGUUAUGAUAAUAGUAAUAAUAACACAUGUAAUAGUAAAAAUUAUAUUGCAGAAUGCAUUUUGAUAAUUUGUCAUUUAUUUUUAAAGUUAUAAUCCAUUAUAUGCCAUUGUUACAUCUACUAUUAUCAAAGCCAUAGUUACAAGAAUUAGUUGUUGGUAUUCAACUGACAACCCUAAAAAAGCUGAGUCUUAUGAAUCCAUCUCACAGCUAAGGGGGGUGGAUCUCCACCAUAAGACCUCGAUGGUCAACCAUGCGUUCGCCACAAAAGUCUGCAUGCACGUCACCCACAAAUUAAUGUUCAAAACUGUAUACCGGUGGUCAAUUUCAUUAAUUCAAUAAUCAAUUGAUUAUGCUGAUUUAUGCGAGUUCUGAACUUUCCUCCAAACAAACUAAGCUUCAAAACUGCCAAUUUUGUGUAUAGACACUCUCUGUAAGACUCUGAUCAAAUGUUCUUUUAAAAAUUUGGUAUCAAAAGUUUUUCUUAUGUGUUUUAUUGUUUGUUUUUUUUAUUUCUUACUAUUUUCUUUGUUUUACAAUUUUUGUUUUUAUUGUUUUUUUAGAUGGAAUUUGUUGAUGACACAUUUAUGAUCAUAAACAGCAUGGAAUCGAUUGGUUUUAAUCAGUAAAGGCAAGAAUAAUAUACAUUUAUGAAUUUUGGCUGAAAUUUUUUUGUAUUGGAAUUGUACAUGAAGCCAUGUUUUUGAGCAAUGUUUGGUCUGAGGUGCGCAACUUCAAAACCACAUGUGUGGACAAAAUUUUUUUGCAAGACUCAAAAGAAAAAGUCAUAACACAGUGUGUCUACUGCGUUGCAGGCAUGUUGCGUGAAACAAUGGGCCUUUUACUGUUAAGAUGGUAUAUACAUGUAGAUGAAAAAUGUAAUGCUGAUGCUAGAGGUGCAGCUGUAGUACUUUGGCUCUUUAUAUGCAAUCAUUUUUGAUAUAUUAUGUUUGUAAUCAUAUACAUGUACAUAAAUUAUGUAUGCUUGUUAUAUAGUUUAUAGGGCCUACAGGGUAACCUUAUUACAAGAUCUUCACCUUGUUAUCAGGCUUUCAGUGGUACCUCAUUAAGAGCGGUUCCUCUUGUUACCUUGCUGUAAAUUGAAAACCCAUGAUAAUAAUAAUAUAACAUGUGUAGGGGAGACUGGAAGUUCAGUGGGACACUCCAUUAUCUUAAUAAAUAUGAAGACAAUGUGAAAUUCAUUUACAUCAGUCAAAAGGCUUCACUAAAUGCCAUUUAAAAAUAUGCCAAAAACCACUGUAAACUUUUGCACACAAGUACAGGAUAAGCGCCUUAUUUUCACUACUUUUAUUACUGAUUUUAAACAUUUAUUCAAAAUUGUUUUUGCGGUUCCGAACGGUGAUCUGACAUUUGCUCCUGCGACAAUUGCUCGCCUUAUUUUCUUCAAAGGUAUAGGGUUAUGGUUCUGGUUGUGAUAGGUUUCUUGGUUCAGAAUAAUAGGAGGAUAAGGAUUAAGGUUAGUGUUAGGUUUGGGUUUAGGGUCCAUGAUUGGCUUAAUAUGCAGACUUUCCAUAGAGCAAGUGUAGCCAGAACAAAUGUCAUGGAAUCUCCCAACCAAGUGGGAUACCCCUUGUGAUAGUGAUUAUCCUCUGAGGUGAUUAAAUGAUUUAAUACAAGAUUUUUUGAUGGCCAUCAAUUUCAGUUGUUUUUAAUAUCUGGGGUAAACUGAGACAUUAGUAAUGCAAUGAGCAAUAUUGGUAUCCUUUUUUUGUGUCUGAGUGUACGCUUAUAUGGGUCUCCCAGUUUACCCUGAGGUGGCUCAAUUAACCCCCCAAACUAAGGGUUUGCAAAAUUUAUGAUUACAUGAAAAGUCAAGCUGUGAGAAUUCAAUCUAUAACUGCCAUAUUUACCUAUGUAUCUAUUAUGCAUCCUAGAAAAAAGGAAACCAUAUUUCAGGGCAGAAAUUUUCUGUCAUAAUAAUAAUUCCAUCGAUGAGAUAUACAUUUAUGAAAAGCUCUACUUUUAUUUGAUUGCUUAACAUAUUAUUCAUAUUUCACGCACGAUUGCAUUAAACCAAUAAAAAGUGGGGGUUCCAAAAUUUAAUUUACACAAAGCAAUUGCAACUUCGAGUUAGUAGGAUAAUAAAUAUAAAUUUUUUUUGAAAAAAAGAGACAUUACAUUGAAAAAAAAUCAUUAUUUUCUCUCGUACAUGACACCUUUGCAUUAAAAAUCAAUUAAGUACACUUGAGAAGAAGUAAAAUGAAAAUAUGCUAGAUUUCUUACAAUUGGGUAAGAAGCCAUUUUAGCUUUCCUGAUUUAGCAGCUGACUUUGGAUCUACAUGUAAUGCUUAAGUGAAUUCACACAAACCUUUCUGUUCACAUCCUUCCCAAGACAGCAUUAAAAGAGCCCCUGAACAUGGCUACUUAAACACUGUAUUGUGAUGGGUAAAUUCACUCAAGCAUUUGGUUCAUUGUCAGCUGCUAGAUUAAGAAAGCUGAAUGGCUUCUUAAUCAAAAUCUACUAAUUUGGGAGAAAUCAAGGAUCUUUUCAUUUUAUAUGCAUGAAGUGUCAUAUAAAAGAGAAAAAUAUUAAUUUGUGUGUGAUGUGUUUCUUUUUCCAAAAUAAGUAUCUUUACUACCCUAUAAACUAACUCAAAAUUGCAAUUUGUUUGUGCAAAUGAAAUUUUAAUACCACUACUUUCAAUUUGUUAAAUUCAACCAUGCAUGAAAUAUGAAUAAUAGAUUAUGCAUCAAAUAAGAAACCGAGCUUUCCACACAUGUACAUCUCAUUACAGAAAUUAUUAUCAUGACAUAAACAAAAUUGCCAUGAAAUCCAGUUUUUUUUUCUUGGGAUACACUGUAUAGUCUUUUAAUAUACAAACAUACAUGUACUUGGUUUCGUCCAAAUAUUUGCUUAGUUACAGUUGGUAAUAUUUUUAAAGUGAAGAAAAAUGUUCCAUUUCUCCCCGGUUUUCCCUAAUACAUGGGACUAUAAAUGAUUGGCAUUACCUUGGUGCAUGCUGAACACAAGUGCUUUCACUUUGAUUUCAUUACUUGUUCUGUGACAACAAAUCAACCAACAAUUUGGGAUCUACAUGUACUUAUUUCUACUAAUUACAGAAAUAAUUGUUAACCGUAAAUCUUCCCUUGUAUAUGUAUCUUAGAAUAUAAGGUUACCUACUUCCGUCAUUUAAUCUUCCCUUGUAUAUGUAUCUUAGAAUAUAAGGUCACCUACUUUACGUUUGAAUGAUUCUUGUUCAUUACUCAAAUUGUUUUCAACAUUUUGUCAUGAUUAAAAGAUUUUGAUGAUGUUAUUUUAACUAAAGCA
rnacentral:lncRNA from 1 species